CUUCUUCAAUCUGCUGCGGGCAGAUGAAAUGGAUAUGGCUGUCCAUGCCGCCGGCGGUAACGAUCUUGCCCUCACCCGCAAUCGCCUCCGUGCCUGGUCCGACGAUGAUGUUGACCCCAGGCUGCGUAUCCGGAUUGCCAGCCUUGCCGAUCGCGACGAUGCGGCCGUCCUUCAAGCCGAUAUCUGCCUUCACCACCCCCCAAUGAUCGACAAUCAAGGCAUUGGUGAUGACCGUAUCGACGGCCCCGGCAGCCCGGGUCACCUGGCUCUGCCCCAUGCCAUCGCGAAUG
rnacentral:sRNA from 1 species